rnacentral:rRNA from 1 species
UACGUAGGGACCGAGCGUUGUCCGGAUUCAUUGGGCGUAAAGAGCUCGUAGGCGGCUGUUCAAGUCGAACGUGAAAACUCGGGGCUCAACUCCGAGCUUGCAGUCGAUACGGGCAGGCUAGAGUUCGGCAGGGGAGACUGGAAUUCCUGGUGUAGCGGUGAAAUGCGCAGAUAUCAGGAGGAACACCGGUGGCGAAGGCGGGUCUCUGGGCCGAUACUGACACUGAGGAGCGAAAGCAUGGGGAGCGAACAGG